AGGGGUAACUCUCCUGAUGGCGAGUGGCGAACGGGUGAGUAACGCGUAGGGAUCUGCCCUUGAGCGGGGGACAACCCGGGGAAACCCGGGCUAAUACCGCAUAAUUUCUGAGGAAUAAAGUGUGCCUCUGCAUGCAAGCACACGCUCGAGGAGGAACCUGCGUCUGAUUAGCUAGUUGGUAGGGUAAAGGCCUACCAAGGCGAUGAUCGGUAGCUGGUCUGAGAGGAUGAUCAGCCACACUGGGACUGAGACACGGCCCAGACUCCUACGGGAGGCAGCAGUGGGGAAUAUUGGACAAUGGGGGCAACCCUGAUCCAGCAAUGCCGCGUGUGUGAAGAAGGCCUGCGGGUUGUAAAGCACUUUCGGAGGGGAGGAAGCGAUGAUGUCGAAUAGGCGUCAUUGUUGACGUUACCCUCAGAAGAAGCACCGGCUAACUCUGUGCCAGCAGCCGCGGUAAUACAGAGGGUGCAAGCGUUAAUCGGAAUUACUGGGCGUAAAGGGUGCGUAGGUGGGCGUGUAAGUUGGAUGUGAAAGCCCCGGGCUUAACCUGGGAUGGUCAUCCAAUACUGCAUGUCUAGAGUAUGGUAGAGGGUAGUAGAAUUUCCGGUGUAGCGGUGAAAUGCGUAGAGAUCGGAAGGAAUAUCAAUGGCGAAGGCAGCUACCUGGGCCAAUACUGACACUGAGGCACGAAAGCAUGGGGAGCAAACAGGAUUAGAUACCCUGGUAGUCCAUGCCGUAAACGAUGAAAACUAGCCGUUGGAUGUCUACGGACAUUUAGUGGCGCAGCUAACGCGAUAAGUUUU
rnacentral:rRNA from 1 species